UUGACAAUUCCAAUUCAGGGCGGCAUCCAAUCUCCUACCCAUACCUAGGGUGCAGCAAUUACUUGCCAUUUGAUGACUGAACCAAAAGAUUUCUGCAAAAUAUGACCUGAAUACAGUUCAGUAUUAAUCGGCGACAAUAGAUUCCAUCCCUUUGUCUCCCAUAUCAGCCGUCUUAAAAUGGGGUUUAGUGGGAAACACAAAAACAGUUGAUGCAGCAUUUGAUGGUUGAAACCCAGCUGAAUAUCUCACAGAUAUCACCGUCACUCGGGGCAACUGUUGCAAACCUGAAGCAAGCGGCACAAUCUUGUAACCAAGGACAUGCUCAGAUUUUGGAAGGACAAAAACUGUGUCACUGUGAGAUCCAGAUAUCACAAAGCUUUGUGCAUCUGCCAAUGAGAACUUCACCUCUUGAAGCAACUGUGUUUGAUUUCGAAUUUUAACCGAAUAUGUGAAGGGAUCUCCAAGAAUAGCAUAAGGAGGAC
rnacentral:misc_RNA from 1 species